rnacentral:rRNA from 1 species
AGACCGAUAGCGAACAAGUACCGUGAGGGAAAGAUGAAAAGAACUUUGAAAAGAGAGUUAAAGAGUACCUGAAACUGCUGAAAGGGAACCGAAUCGUUUCCAGUGUCUAUAAUCCGUGGUAUAUUUCAUUGGCGAGUGUGUGCGUGCGUGUGCUGUGGCAGCGGCUUUUUAGGCUGCGCUCGGCGUGUGUGCUGUGUGUGCUUGCUGGUGCCCUGUACUGCGGUGGGACGUCAAGGUCAGUUCGUAUGCUGCGGGAAAUGGCUGCCGAGGAGGUAGGGCUUACGCUUGCGUUUGUCUGUUAUAUCUUGGUGGACGAGUAGUCGCGGUUGGGACUGAGGUGCCUACAACGUGCUUUUGAGUGGGUUUGUGUCUCCGUGUGCGCCGUGUGCGGAUAGCAAGCUAUGCGUGUGUGGUUGUGUGUGGAUUGAUGCGGGCUUUAACUUGUUGCCGUUCGGGACGUUGACGAAAUGGAGCGAUUCGACCCGUCUUGAAACACGGACCAAG